rnacentral:rRNA from 1 species
UACGUAGGGUGCAAGCGUUGUCCGGAAUUAUUGGGCGUAAAGAGCUCGUAGGUGGUCUGUCGCGUCUGGUGUGAAAACUCGGGGCUUAACCCCGGGCCUGCAUCGGGUACGGGCAGACUAGAGUGUGGUAGGGGAGACUGGAAUUCAUGGUGUAGCAGUGAAAUGCGUAGAGAUCAUGAGGAAGACCAGUGGCGAAGGCGGGUCUCUGGACAGUUCCUGACACUGAGGCACGAAGGCCAGGGGAGCAAACGGG